rnacentral:antisense_RNA from 1 species
GUCGUCCCAAGAAAUCAGCAGAAACGGCCUUCACCGAGUGCUAUCCCAAGAAAUCAGCAGAACGGCCUUCACCGAGUGCUAAGCACCUGCAUGGCAGUCUCCUCCAAGGACAGCAGAGGCUUCUGCGGGGCGAGGAGAGGUCGUUUUCCCACGAACUCUUCAGGCCCGCCCAUCGCCCUGGCCCCGCCCUGCGGCCCCGCCCACAACACAAGGCCCCGCCUAGCUCUGCAGCCCCGCCCACAACCCAGGGCCCGCCCACACGCGGCCAACCGGUCUGGUUAUGUGGGUCCCACCUACGCCCCACAGCUCCAUCCCGCCCCGUCCGCCUUCCCCUUGGCGUCUGCGUGUCUGGGGAGCGCCCACCCACCGACCUGCGCUGAAGGGAACUGAGGCACAGCUUCUCGCUCCAGGCCCAGCAGCUGGGAGUGGAUGUUGGCCAGAGCUCGCUGGGACAGAGUCAGCCUCUGCAGAAAGAGAAAGGGAGGGAGGAGGACCCAGGAGUAUACGCCCCCGGCCCGGCCCUCUCUCCUCUCCUCCGGACACAGCACUCGGGCCCCUGGCCUGCAUCCUCCCCGGAACCCAGGAGUCCAGGCCCCAGCCCCAGCCCCGCCCCCUCCCUUCAGAGUCC